AAGUUGUGCUAUGAACUGUUUCUGUUGAGGCCAAUAGAACAGUCCUUGGAUCUUGUGAGCAGUAACUCUACCGCCAGAGUGACCCCCAAAUAAUGGGUAUUAGAGCAGGAUACCCACCUCCUCCACCUCCUCGCGUCGUUGCUGUACUGAUCCUGACAGCCGGCCGUCGCCUCCCCCACCUCCUCGCAUCGCUGGCGACCCCUCGCGGCGCCUCCCAACCUCCUGCGUGUUAGCCACCGCCCUCCCCCAGCCCCCCGCACACUCCCGGCGGGGCCCUACGCCGCCUCUCCAUCUCCUGCGCGCCGCCAGCGUACAUCCGGUCCGCAUCCCAAAUUCCUCCGGUCCCGGCCAUGGUCGUUCGAGCACGAGAUCGCCGUUUCUUGGGUCGAGCACUUGGGCGCCACCGCGCUGUAAUUCCUCACCGAGUUGAUUGCGAUGGCGCUCGGGAUACUCUCACACUCACGGUGGUGCUCCCUGCGGACCGAGAGUAGUCCGACCUCCUGACUGCCGUCACCGUUGGACUGGAUUGUCGUCGCCUCUAGACUGGGCUGCCCGCACGCCCCUCUGGCUUCCUAAACAAGCAGGCCCUGGACUCCACUCGAACAGCCGCUGGAUCCCCGUCUACAUGAUACACAAAGGUUGUUUGUACCAAGACUGCAUCUUUAAUCUGUCCUUUCUAUCUGAUAAUAUUGUUGCACUUCACGGGUUGCAGAAAACGAGGCAGUGGGAGCGGAUGAAUCCUGUUAGAAGUUGCUUUCUUGAUCUAUUUACUGUCAGGUGGCCUAGCACAAAUCGCUCGAUAACAAUGGUGUUGUUGCACCUCUCCAUAGCCUUCCUCGUGUUCCUCCUCCCGACCGCGUUGAUGUGCCCCUUGAUACCGAAUCCAAGGCGUGUAUCCCCGUGGUCAUGGGCUGAGUGGCACGACGUGCUCACUUCACUGCUGCUUGUGGUGCCGCUUCCGCCAACGCAUCUAGGAUGGGAAGGUGAGCAUUCUCCUCCUUCCCAAGGCAUCCUGCAUAUGCAGGGGUGGUCUGUCCCAAACGCCUGAUUCAAGGCGUCCUUGAGGUGUGUGACUGGGCAUGGCCGUCGUCGAUAAGGCUGGACCUAGAUCCAGCAGUUUCUUCCAAUUCUAGCAAGGGUGGGCCAGAGACAUCACCUUGGCACUGCACGACAUCAUACUCUGUCAUUGGCACUCCUAGGCGAACAGGUGCAUUUUAUGUCAUUCUCAUAUGCAUUCUGGAAUGCCCAAUUCAGCCUGCGCACAUGAUGCUUUUGGAGUCUGGGAAAUGGAUGCUCCUGGAGUAAGAAAAUCUUUUGAACUGAAUUAUUUGUUUGCCCAAGUGCAAGUUUCAGUUUUCCAACGAAAAAUGUGUUUGUAAGACAGUCUUUUGACUGAUGGCAUAUUUUACUUAGACAAAAUGUUCAGAGCUGACAAAAACAUAAAGGGAUAUCCAUCUUUAGGAGAAUUUUUAUUUCAUACAAAGACGGAUUGGCUCUACGUGCAUGUAUAUAUUUACCGGGAUGUUCUUAUUUUGAUCAGAAAUUCAAUGCAUCUCCGUGUCUUAAUGUGUAAGUGUUGAGUAACAACUGCCGGACUGCAAGCUAGAGUUUGUUGUUAACGACUGUAAGAAUAUUGGCUAAUUUUAAUGUAACUCUUUCUUAAAAAAAGUGAAUGGGUGUCAAGUAUAUUCUUCAUUUCAUCGCGGACAAGUGUAAAACAAACUUUGCGAUGUGAUAACUAAAGGGGAAACCCCCAUGGGAUUUCAUUUCCUCAAAUAGUAGACUUCUUAUAUACUAAGUGGUUCCUUAAAGGUAUGUUCUACUACAAACUGGCAGUAGCAUGAUAUUUAUUUAUUCUUUCUUAAGCUAUACAAGGUGGUGAAGUUUCACAUCGUGUUUCCUCUGUAUUCUUGAUUCCUAUAUAUGGCACAUCUUAGGAAUUCUGGCGGAAUAUUAUACUCUACUACCUUCCUGCCGAAAUCUCUGGGUUAGCUUGGAGGAGAUUGUUGAUGUGACUAUCUCGCGUUAUUCCAUUUACCAAGAUGACAUUUUUCUUUUCAGGAUUUGGAUUUGUUUUUCUGAACACGGUGCUUUUUGCCUCCAUGGGUGUGGCCUAUCAAUAAGAGGAUUUCAAAAUAGUCCUACUUCGAAGUUGGCAUGUUCGAAGGAGGGCCUAUACCAGGUGAUCAUCAUCCAACACAUGAGUUAAUCCUUGAUUUACUACUACUAACUAUGAACUAUAGUGAUUCCUCACUGUUCUGAAACUGAUUGAAAGCAAUCUUAGGCUGUGUUGAGUUGUUUGUGGCAACUUGCUCACCUCCACGAGAGCCCAACUCGACAUGCAUUGUUGAUGUAGAGUGUUUCUCCAUUGUAAUAAUUUGGAUUAAUUUUGCCAAGGUUGGAACUUGGAACAUGGAAGCUUACUGCUAUUUACAAUAUUGUCACACCGUGGGGAGUGGGGACGUCCUUGCAGCAGAGCAUGGUAGAGCAACCUUUUGGCAAAGGUUGACCUGUCUUUGAUUCAAGCUGUAAGGUAUUAGAUUGAUUGUUCAUCCGUACUUCUCAUAUAUGGUUUUGUGCUUGUGCUUUUGUUCUCAGGCGUCAGGGUAAAAUCUGCAGCAGGGAGAACCUCCCUUUGGAGAUGCAGAGCGGAGGGGAUCUGUACAUAGACGUCCACAAGGAAUAUGCAAGCUAGCUGCAAUUGCUCUAGGAGAUCUGUUGGAUUCAAACACAAGACAGUGUUUGCAAACAUUUUAGCAUCAAAAUUGUUUGCACAUCUUAGGGAUGGUACUCUGGAAAUGCAUUUGUAGAACGAGUUUUUGGCUCCAGUCAACUAAACACAUAACUAGGCCUAUUACCCAAAAGAGGCCACACGUUUGCAUCUAUUUAUUUUAUGUGCAAGAUUAAAAUAAAACAAGAAAAAACUAAAUGUUGU